rnacentral:rRNA from 1 species
UACGUAGGGGGCUAGCGUUGUCCGGAUUUAUUGGGCGUAAAGAGCGUGUAGGCGGCCAGGUAGGUCUGCUGUGAAAACUCGAGGCUCAACCUCGAGACGUCGGCGGAAACCAUCUGGCUAGAGUCCGGAAGAGGAGAGUGGAAUUCCUGGUGUAGCGGUGAAAUGCGCAGAUAUCAGGAAGAACACCAACGGCGAAGGCAGCUCGCUGGGACGGAACUGACGCUGAGGCGCGAAAGCGUGGGGAGCGAACAGG